ACACACACACUCACAGGCAAACACACUCACACUAACAGACACACACACAGUCAGACACACACUCACUAGCAGACACACACACACUCACAGGCAAACACACACUCACUAGCAGACACACACACACUCACUGACACACAGUCAGACACACGCAUACACACUAACAGACAAAUACAGUCAGACACACACACUAACAAACACACACACAUUAACAGACACACACUCACUGACACACAGACUCACAGGCAAACACACUCACACUAACAGACACACACAGUCAGACACACACACUAACAGACACACACACACUAACAGACACAC